CCAAUAGCGUAUAUUAAAGUUGUUGCAGUUAAAAAGCUCGUAGUUGAAUUUCGAGACCGGUUUACUGGUCGUGCUUUUGUACGUACUGGUAUUAUUGGUUUCUCCUUUCUGACGAAUCAUAAUGCCAUUAAUUUGGUGUUUUGGGGAAUCAGGACUGUUACUUUGAAAAAAUUAGAGUGUUUAAAGCAGGCUCACGCUUGAAUACAUUAGCAUGGAAUAACGAAAUAGGACGUUUGAUUUUAUUUUGUUGGUUUCUAGGAUCGACGUAAUGAUUAAUAGGGAUAGUUGGGGGCAUUAGUAUUCAAUUGUCAGAGGUGAAAUUCUUGGAUUUAUUGAAGACUAACUACUGCGAAAGCAUUUGCCAAGGAUGUUUUCAUUAAUCAAGAACGAGAGUUAGGGGAUCGAAGACGAUCAGAUACCGUCGUAGUCUUAACCAUAAACUAUGCCGACUAGGGAUCGGAUGAUGUUAAUUUUUUAAUGACUCAUUCGGCGCCUUACG
rnacentral:rRNA from 1 species